rnacentral:rRNA from 1 species
AUUGAACGCUGGCGGCAGGCCUAACACAUGCAAGUCGAACGAGUGGCGGACGGGUGAGUAAUGUCUGGGAAACUGCCUGAUGGAGGGGGAUAACUACUGGAAACGGUAGCUAAUACCGCAUACCAUCGGAUGUGCCCAGAGGGGAUUAGCUAGUAGGUGGGGUAAAGGCUCACCUAGGCGACGAUCCCUAGCUGGUCUGAGAGGAUGACCGGCCACACUGGAACUGAGACACGGUGCAGCCUACUACGGGACGCAGCAGUGGGGAAGAUUGCACAAUGGGCGCAAGCCUGAUGCAGCCAUGCCGCGUGUGUGAAGAAGGCCUGCGGGUUGUAGAGCUCUUUCAGCGAGGAGGCGUGACUCGCAGAAGAAGCACCGGCUAACUCCGUGCCAGCAGCCGCGGUAAUA